CAAUGCCCCCCUGUACAAAGCAAGGUCCAUACAGAAAUGGUUUGUCGAGAUCGGUGUGGAAGAACUUGAUUGGCCUGCACAGAGACCUGACCUCAACACCAUCGAACAUCCUUUGGACGAAUUGGAACGCCGACUGCGAGCCAUGCCUAAUCGCCAAGCAUCAGUACCCAACCUCACUAAUGCUCUUGUGGCUGAAAGGAAGCAAGUUCCCACAGCAAUGUUCCAACAUCUAGUGGAAAACCUUCUCAGAAAAGUGGAGGCUGUUAUAGCAGCAUACGGUGGACCAACUCCAUAUUAAUGCCAUUGAUUUUUGAAUGAGAUGUUCGACGAGUAGGUGUCCACAUACUUUCUGUCAUGUAAUGUAUCUCUAAGCGUUGUUAACAGUCACAGUUGCUUUCUGAACGGUGACGACCUCAACAGACAGUGGAUGAAGGCUUAUCCUUUCCUGAGCCCUACCAUCUACCCUGCCAAUGGCUUUCUCUACUACCACAACAGCAUCGGCAGGACGCCUCUGGUGAGAGAUGUCACAUACAGCUUCACCGUAUCUGUAGAACAAAUAGAUACCCCUCACCCUCCCACAUAAACAUUCAGUUAUAUGCAUAUGGUAUGCGCAUACAAUGUUUUGAGCACAAUUUUUAUGCAAAAAGUACCUCUGUUGUUCAUUCAGAUAGACAAGGGGCAUUGUAUUAUCUAUCUGAUUCACCUCCCCUGAACUUCUUUCUGAAUCUAAUUAGCUUGUUUAUAGCUCUUUGGUUCUUCUUCUGUGAUCUCUCUCAACUCCAACAAACAUUUGCUUUAUUUCCAGAAUGUCAUGUCAGGGAAACAUCUACAGUACAGCUCCAGUAUCUCUGUCAUGUUGCCUCCACGGGUGUUCUGUGAUUACCAUGGCCACUCACGGAAGAAGAAAGUGUUCCUGUAUGACUAUAGUGUUUAGGAGACUGUGUGGCAGUCAGGUUCAGCUGUCAAUACUGCCACUCUGAAGGAGGACCCAGGAUAUAGGGUAACUAUUAGUGGAUAUUUGAAGUAGAAUUACUGUUAAGCUUGGUCGUUACCCAGCUACAGUAUCAAGCUUUGGUCAGGGGAAGUCUUGGAAAUGUUAUAAUGUAGCUAAAACAUUUAUUAUUAUAAAACUAUUCAUUCAUAUAGUAUACAGCAUGUAUCAAUCAUUUAUUAGAGCCUCAAUGAAUCACGAUGGUAAUCAAUCUUCCUUUAGCUACAUUAUUUGGGCUUCAAUGGCUAAACAGUGUAAAGAAUACCCACUACAGUUGUAAGGGGUGCGUACUGGCGGCAGAGAAGUCAGGUGCAGGAGAGCAAAAACUGAUUUACAACGGCGCAGUUUAAUAAAUAAAACCACCGUUAACAGUACAAUAAAUCCAUGUGUACAAAACCCGUCACACACCAGCAUAACGUGCACAAGCACUACAAUAAACAAUUCCGGACAAGGACAUGGGGGGGGAACAGAGGGUUAAAUACACAACAUGUAAUGAUGGAAUUGAAACCAGGUGUGUGGGAAGACAAGACAAAACAAAUGGAAAAUGAAAGGUGGAUCGGCGAUGGCUAGAAGACCGGUGACGUCGACCACCGAACGCAACCCGAACAAGGAGAGGGACCGACUUCGGCGGAAGUCGUGACAACAGUAUUAAAGCCAAUUUCUUCUCCCUCUUUCUUUGUUUCCAGACCAUCCCUAAGACUCUGGAAUGGAUAGCCCUGGCGUUCUCCUUCAACAGCUAUAACUACCUGGUAGAGAAGGGAGGGAGAUCGGCAUGCAUUCCAGGUGACUACCUCAUGAAGCUGGUUGAGAGAAUGCCAAGAGUGUACAAAGCUGUCAUCAAGGCAAAGGGUGGCUACUUUGAAGAAUCUCAAAUAUAAAAUAUAUUUUGAUUUGUAUAACACUUUUUGGUUACUACAUGAUUCCAUAUGUGUUAUUUCAUAGUUUGAUGUCUUCAUUAUUAUUCUACAAUGUAGAAAAUAGUAAAAAAAAAAAAAAAGUCAUAUCCCUGGAAUGAGUAGGUGUGUCCAAAAUUUUGACUGGAACUGUAAUUGUUUUUUAUUGAUCAUAUUAAAUAAUCAUUGUAAUUGCGCACACAUUGAUGUCAGACAUGCACCUUCACCAAAGCUCUGUUGCUGAUGACCUGGAUGAAAGCAGGAGCUGAUUCCAGGAGCAAGACACCCUAUUUUUGACUGAUGACUGAUAUAAGGGCAUGUACGUGAUAGGCCUAUCUGGCUUUUAUGAUUAUGAUGGUCAUAAUGCUUCUUGACAGUGUCAUAAAGUGUAUUUUCUUAGUCCAAGUAAAGUGACACAGGAUAGUCAUAAUGCUUCUUGACAGUGUCAAACAUUUGUAUUUUCUCCAAGUUAUUUAAAAUAAGAUGAAAAAAAACAUGACUGUAAAGAAUUCAUUGCGACAACAAAGGAUUUAAGAAGGAAACUUCUUGGCAGGGAAAAAACUAAUUUAAAUAAAUGUGGGUUUGACACACUUAUGUACAGGAGGUGUCAUAACCUGCUAUUUUUUGGUGAAAAAUAUUCAUUCCAUUAAAUAACACAAUAUUUGUCACAACAGGUGUAAAUGUAUGCGUCGUGACAGUGACGAUAUUAUCAUGACCAUAUUAUGACAGGUUAUGACAAGUUACAUCAGCUGUUAUGACAUGGUUAUGACCGUGUCAUAUCGUGUUAUGACACUGGGUGUCAAUUAAAGUGUUACAGAUAAUAUAAUUAAAAUGAGUAAGGGCAUUGCUGUAACAAUAAAAUGUUCUGUGUAUGUAACAUCCAGCACUCUGAAUCAGGUGAUUCAACCUCUGGUUCUAUCACAUCUAGAGUACUGUCCAGUCAUAUGGGUAUCUGCCGCAAAAAAAAUACCAAAAAUUGCUCCAACUCUCUCAAAACAAGGCUGCAAGAUUGGCUCUUCAUUGCUCUAUCUGAAUGAAUGUCAACCAAAUGCAUCAGAAUCUCUCAUGGCUUCCCGUUGACACAAAUGACUAUUAAGUCUUUUGACUAUCUUUAGGAAUGUUAUAUUUUUCAAGAAACCACAGUAUUUCUCAGACCAAUUAGUGUAUACUAGCAACAAAGAACCACCAAACCAGACAGGCAAAUUCAGGGCAUAAUAUUUUUUGUUCUGUGAUGAACCCCAGGAAGAUUAGCUGACAUUACAGUAUCAACUAAUGGGGAUCCUAAGAAAACACUUCCCCUACAUCCCUCUACCCCCCUACUUCCCUCUUCUUCCCCUAACUCUCCCUCCCUCUCUCUACCUCCCUCUACCUCCCUCUACUUCCCCUAACUCUCCCUCCCUCCCUCUACCUCCCUCUACUUCCCCCUACUUCCCUCUACCUCCCUCUGCUUCCCCUAGCUCCCCCUAGCUCCCUCUACUUCCCCUAUCCCCCACCACCCUCUACCUUCCCCUACCGCCCUCUACAUCCCUCUAUCUCCUCUAAUUCCUCUACCUCACCCUACCUCAUCCUACCUCUCCCUACCUCCGUCUCUUUCCCCCACUUCCCCUGCCUCCCUCUCCCUCCACUACCUCCCCUAUAAUGAUUUCAUUGGAGUCGAAGCCUCAUUAUAGCCUGCAGAAGGUAAUAAUAAUGUAUUGCUCUGCUGAUUGGAUCACAUGUGGUUUGUAAUCAUGUUUUAAACGCUACUAGGCAACCUCACCCUGGUCAUUUCACAAAUUUUGCCUGCAUUUUCAAUGAAGCACAAAUAUUUUAUAUUGCUAUGUACUGUAUACAUAUGCUGUAUGCUUCUUUCACAUAAGCAUGUGUUACGUUCUGACCAGUAAAGGGGUUAUUUGUUAUUGUAGUUUGGUCAGGAUGUGGCAGGGGGGUGUUUGUUUUAUGUGGUUCGGGGUUGUUGAUAUAAUUGUUUAUGUAGAGGGGUGUUUGUUUAGAGUAUUCUGGGGUUUUGGUCUAUGUUCUAUGUUAGUGUAUUUCUAUGUUCUGUCUAGUCUAUCUAUUUCUAUGUUUAGUUAAUUGGGAUUGGGCCUUCAAUUGGAGGCAGCUGUUCCUCGUUGCCUCUGAUUGAAGGUCCUAUGUAUAGGGGUGUGUUUGUUAUGGGAAUUGUGGGAGGUUGUUUGUGCACUGCUAUGUUUAGCCUGCAUUACUGUUUAGCUGCCGUUAGUUUUUUUGUUUAGUUGUUUUUGUAUAGUGUGCGUCAUAAAAUAAAGAUGAGCAUUCACGUACCCGCUGCAUUUUGGUCCACUUCCUAUGACGGCCGUUACAGCAUGUUAG
rnacentral:lncRNA from 8 species